rnacentral:rRNA from 1 species
AGAGUUUGAUCCUGGCUCAGGUUGAACGCUGGCGGCAGGCCUAACACAUGCAAGUCGAACGGUAGCACAGAGAGCUUGCUCUCGGGUGACGAGUGGCGGACGGGUGAGUAAUGUCUGGGAAACUGCCCGAUGGAGGGGGAUAACUACUGGAAACGGUAGCUAAUACCGCAUAACGUCGCAAGACCAAAGAGGGGGACCUUCGGGCCUCUUGCCAUCGGAUGUGCCCAGAUGGGAUUAGCUUGUAGGUGGGGUAACGGCUCACCUAGGCGACGAUCCCUAGCUGGUCUGAGAGGAUGACCAGCCACACUGGAACUGAGACACGGUCCAGACUCCUACGGGAGGCAGCAGUGGGGAAUAUUGCACAAUGGGCGCAAGCCUGAUGCAGCCAUGCCGCGUGUAUGAAGAAGGCCUUCGGGUUGUAAAGUACUUUCAGCGAGGAGGAAGGUGUUGUGGUUAAUAACCGCAGCAAUUGACGUUACUCGCAGAAGAAGCACCGGCUAACUCCGUGCCAGCAGCCGCGGUAAUACGGAGGGUGCAAGCGUUAAUCGGAAUUACUGGGCGUAAAGCGCACGCAGGCGGUCUGUCAAGUCGGAUGUGAAAUCCCCGGGCUCAACCUGGGAACUGCAUCCGAAACUGGCAGGCUAGAGUCUUGUAGAGGGGGGUAGAAUUCCAGGUGUAGCGGUGAAAUGCGUAGAGAUU